rnacentral:rRNA from 1 species
CGGUCCAGACUCCUACGGGAGGCAGCAGUAGGGAAUCUUCCGCAAUGGGCGAAAGCCUGACGGAGCAACGCCGCGUGAGUGAUGAAGGCUUCGGAUCGUAAAACUCUGUUAUUAGGGAAGAACAUACGUGUAAGUAACUGUGCACGUCUUGACGGUACCUAAUCAGAAAGCCACGGCUAACUACGUGCCAGCAGCCGCGGUAA